rnacentral:lncRNA from 1 species
UAAUUACACUAGCACAUGUGGGAUACAGGCAGAAUCUGAGGUACACUGAACAUAUUCACAGCUCUCUGUGCAAAGGAAGUGUGCCAUCAGCCUGUUCAUCAUCAUGUCAUCAGGUUCUCCUCUAUGCUCACAGCUGAUUCCAAUGGAUAGCUCCCUCCUCCCAGAACUCAAUUUCACUGCCACUGAACCAGUGAUAAAACCUGAGCACUGACAGAUGAACAACUGGUGUUCUUGAAGGGGAAGAGGAAAACACACCUUGCAAAUACUGCUUUGAGACAGUCAGAUGGUGCGUUCUCCCUAGUUACACAGACCAAACCCUGUCUAGCUCUUGGCAGUGUGUAUGACUGUACUAGCAAAUUUAAGGAUA